UACGAAGGGAGCUAGCGUUGUUCGGAAUCACUGGGCGUAAAGCGCACGUAGGCGGAUGUGUCAGUCAGGGGUGAAAUCCCGGAGCUCAACUUCGGAACUGCCUUUGAUACAGCACGUCUUGAGUCCGGAAGAGGUGGGUGGAAUUCCUAGUGUAGAGGUGAAAUUCGUAGAUAUUAGGAAGAACACCGGUGGCGAAGGCGGCCCACUGGUCCGGUACUGACGCCUGAGGUGCGAAAGCGUGGGGAGCAA
rnacentral:rRNA from 1 species